rnacentral:rRNA from 1 species
UACGGGGGGGGGCAAGCGUUGUUCGGAAUUACUGGGCGUAAAGGGCUCGUAGGUGGCCAACUAAGUCAGACGUGAAAUCCCCAGGCUCAACUUGGGAACUGCGUCUGAUACUGGAUGGCUUGAAUCCGGGAGAGGGAUGCAGAAUUCCAGGUGUAGCGGUGAAAUGCGUAGAUAUCUGGAGGAAUACCGGUGGCGAAGGCGGCAUCCUGGACCGGCAUUGACGCUGAGGAGCGAAAGCUAGGGGAGCAAACGGG